rnacentral:tRNA from 1 species
GGAGAGGUGGCGGAGCGGCUGAUCGCGCCGGUCUCGAAAACCGGUAUACCCUUCGGGGUAUCGGGGGUUCGAAUCCCCCCCUCUCCG